rnacentral:rRNA from 1 species
UAGGGAAUCUUCGGCAAUGGACGAAAGUCUGACCGAGCAACGCCGCGUGAGUGAAGAAGGUUUUCGGAUCGUAAAACUCUGUUGCUAGAGAAGAACAAGGACGUUAGUAACUGAACGUCCCCUGACGGUAUCUAACCAGAAAGCUACGGCUAACUACGUGCCAGCAGCCGCGGUAAUACGUAGGUGGCAAGCGUUGUCCGGAUUUAUUGGGCGUAAAGCGAGCGCAGGCGGUUUCUUAAGUCUGAUGUGAAAGCCCCCGGCUCAACCGGAGAGGGUCAUUGGAAACUGAGAGACUUGAGUGCAGAAGAGGAGAGUGGAAUUCCAUGUGUAGCGGUGAAAUGCGUAGAUAUAUGGAGGAACACCAGUGGCGAGGGCGGCUCUCUGGUCUGUAACUGACACUGAGGCUCGAAAGCGUGGGGAGCAAACAGG